UACGAAGGGGGCAAGCGUUGUUCGGAUUUACUGGGCGUAAAGGGCGCGCAGGCGGCUCUUCAAGUCAGAUGUGAAAGCCCCGGGCUCAACCUGGGAACUGCAUUUGAGACUGAAGAACUCGAGUUCGGGAGAGGAUGGCGGAAUUCCCAGUGUAGAGGUGAAAUUCGUAGAUAUUGGGAAGAACACCGGUGGCGAAGGCGGCCAUCUGGACCGAGACUGACGCUGAGGCGCGAAAGCGUGGGGAGCGAACAGG
rnacentral:rRNA from 1 species